CAAACGCAAACCGCCAAUCUAAUUUGAAUUUGAAAGAGCCAUCUUCGCCGCGCCGUUAAUUUGCACCGCACUUUUAUCGAGUGCUAGUGCGAUAAAGAAGGGUAAAGAAGGCCGUUUUAAUAAUAAUUCAACCACUGAAAUCACACGGACCAGAUUUGGACAAUGACUUGAAAGCUAAGACAUUCGCAGUAGGCUCUACAGGAGAGAGGGAGACCCAAAACCACCUGGAGUCAUACUGAGCCUCGAGGAGGAGAUGAAGUCAGUGAACAUGACCUGGGGUACCGGUAGUUUCCAGAAGAAGGCCCAGCUCAGAACCGCCAGGAGUAGAGAUCUGAAUACUUCGUUGCUGCCCUCCAUAUGAGGAGGCUGUAAGUUAGAUACAUCGCAUCUACCAGCAAAGAAUGUGUGCCAGUAGAGGAAAGGAAUGUACCUGUCGCACGUGAACUCUUCAGAGGCAGUGAGGACUAGAUCUGCAAGCAAGUGAUCCUUUUUAUACAUCGCAUCUACCAGCAAAGAUCAAGUGCCACUACAGGAAAGGAAGGUACCUGUUUCACGUUUCCUCUUCAGAGCCAGUGAGGGCCCCAAGAUCUCAAUAAAUAAUAAUUAAAAAAAGACUCCUUUAUCAUUCCUUUAAAAAUAGUACAUAUUAUUUAUUGAAGGUAAAUGCUUAGAUGCAUUAUAUUCAAAUUUUGUCUCCAAGCUAGCAUGUAAAAAUUGGAUUGACUACAUAUUUACUGUGUAAGUUAAUGAUCUUUGUUGACACAUAAUACAAGAAUUAUACACAGCAUGUUACAGUUUGUAACAUAAUUUUCUUUCAUUAAAUUCCUAGUUU